UACGAAGGGUGCAAGCGUUACUCGGAAUUACUGGGCGUAAAGCGCGCGUAGGUGGCUUGAUAAGCCGGUUGUGAAAGCCCCGGGCUCAACCUGGGAACGGCAUCCGGAACUGUCAGGCUAGAGUGCAGGAGAGGAAGGUAGAAUUCCCGGUGUAGCGGUGAAAUGCGUAGAGAUCGGGAGGAAUACCAGUGGCGAAGGCGGCCUUCUGGACUGACACUGACACUGAGGUGCGAAAGCGUGGGUAGCAAACAGG
rnacentral:rRNA from 1 species